CUGGGGGCGGGCGUGCUUGACCUUGCGAGUCCGUACGUAGAAAGCCUUUCGGGGUGGUUAGUGGCGAACGGGUGAGUAACACGUGGGCAAUCUGCCCUUCACUCUGGGACAAGCCCUGGAAACGGGGUCUAAUACCGGAUAACACUCUGUCCUGCAUGGGACGGGGUUAAAAGCUCCGGCGGUGAAGGAUGAGCCCGCGGCCUAUCAGCUUGUUGGUGGGGUAAUGGCCUACCAAGGCGACGACGGGUAGCCGGCCUGAGAGGGCGACCGGCCACACUGGGACUGAGACACGGCCCAGACUCCUACGGGAGGCAGCAGUGGGGAAUAUUGCACAAUGGGCGAAAGCCUGAUGCAGCGACGCCGCGUGAGGGAUGACGGCCUUCGGGUUGUAAACCUCUUUCAGCAGGGAAGAAGCGAAAGUGACGGUACCUGCAGAAGAAGCGCCGGCUAACUACGUGCCAGCAGCCGCGGUAAUACGUAGGGCGCAAGCGUUGUCCGGAAUUAUUGGGCGUAAAGAGCUCGUAGGCGGCUUGUCACGUCGGAUGUGAAAGCCCGGGGCUUAACCCCGGGUCUGCAUUCGAUACGGGCUAGCUAGAGUGUGGUAGGGGAGAUCGGAUUCCUGGUGUAGCGGUGAAAUGCGCAGAUAUCAGGAGGAACACCGGUGGCGAAGGCGGAUCUCUGGGCCAUUACUGACGCUGAGGAGCGAAAGCGUGGGGAGCGAACAGGAUUAGAUACCCUGGUAGUCCACGCCGUAAACGUUGGGAACUAGGUGUUGGCGACAUUCCACGUCGUCGGUGCCGCAGCUAACGCAUUAAGUUCCCCGCCUGGGGAGUACGGCCGCAAGGCUAAAACUCAAAGGAAUUGACGGGGCCCGCACAAGCAGCGGGAGCAUGUGGCUUAAUUCGACGCAACGCGAAGAACCUUACCAAGGCUUGACAUAUACCGGAAAGCAUCAGAGAUGGUGCCCCCCUUGUGGUCGGUAUACAGGUGGUGCAUGGCUGUCGUCAGCUCGUGUCGUGAGAUGUUGGGUUAAGUCCCGCAACGAGCGCAACCCUUGUUCUGUGUUGCCAGCAUGCCCUUCGGGGUGAUGGGGACUCACAGGAGACUGCCGGGGUCAACUCGGAGGAAGGUGGGGACGACGUCAAGUCAUCAUGCCCCUUAUGUCUUGGGCUGCACACGUGCUACAAUGGCCGGUACAAUGAGCUGCGAUGCCGCGAGGCGGAGCGAAUCUCAAAAAGCCGGUCUCAGUUCGGAUUGGGGUCUGCAACUCGACCCCAUGAAGUCGGAGUUGCUAGUAAUCGCAGAUCAGCAUUGCUGCGGUGAAUACGUUCCCGGGCCUUGUACACACCGCCCGUCACGUCACGAAAGUCGGUAACACCCGAAGCCGGUGGCCCAACCCCUUGUGGGAGGGAGCUGUCGAAGGGGGACUUGGCGAUGGGACGAAUCGAAACAAGCGCCCUACCGAAGAACCUUACCAAGGCUUGACAUAUACCGGGAAAAGCAUCAGAGAUGGGUGCCCCCCCCUUUGUGGGUCGGUAUACAGGUGGUGCCAUGGCUGUCGUCAGCUUCGUGUCCGUGAGAAUGUUGGAUGAGGUCCGCUACGAGCGCCAAUCCAUUGCUCCUGUGUUGGCUAGGCCAUGUCUCUUCG
rnacentral:rRNA from 1 species